rnacentral:rRNA from 1 species
UACGGAGGGUGCGAGCGUUGUUCGGAAUCACUGGGCGUAAAGCGCGUGUAGGCGGCUCAGUAAGUCUGGUGUGAAAGCCCGGGGCUCACCCCCGGAAGUGCACUGGAAACUGCGGAGCUCGAGUCCCGGAGAGGAGAGUGGAAUUCCUGGUGUAGCGGUGAAAUGCGUAGAUAUCAGGAGGAACACCGGUGGCGAAGGCGGCUCUCUGGACGGUGACUGACGCUGAGACGCGAAAGCGUGGGUAG